rfam:Nelumbo nucifera unplaced genomic scaffold scaffold00055, whole genome shotgun sequence
CGGAAAAGCAUCAUUGAGUGCAGCGUUGAUGAAUUCCAAUUUCCAAUCACCACUGUUGUAAUUUUGCUCUUGUAAAGAAAUGUGAGUUGAUUUCGUCCGCGCUGCACUCAAUUAUGUUUUUA